GUAUUUUGGAUGGAACAGAUUCUAAUGAAAGCGAUUGAUAAGGAUUUUCUGCAAUCGACGUACUGAGACAAACCAUUUCCUUUUCCUCGUCUUUAGAAAAAUUUGCUAGAACAUCUUCAAUACUGUCUUUAAUUGAGAAAGCCGCUUCAUAACGUUUUAAACCAAAAACCAAAUCAUCGUAAACAGCGUCUUGGGGGGAUUGCUUUCGUAAACUUUCUUGAAUAGGCGGAUUAGGCAAUGGUUUUUCCAUUUAAAUAUAUCAGAAAAGUAAAUUUCAAUCGGUAUGGAACACCCAAUCAACAAAUAGUAGAUAAGCGUUUCAAGGAAAUCUUCACUUUAGAAUUGCGUUGUAGAAGUUUGAAACCAAAAUUCGUCUAGUUGCUUAAACAGAAGUAUUUACGAAUAGAGAAAAAAUUUGAGAUUGGAUGGAUGUCUCACCAUAAAUUGCUAAGUAUUUUAACUAAAUAAAGUUUCCAAAUCAUGAAGAAUUUGUUAGACACCAAUAAAACAUUUAUUGAGCGUUCGUGGAUAUGUUUGAUCUUAUAUGGAGCACUAUGUAUAAACACAACUCUAGUUAGUUUGAAACUUCAUUGUUUCAUCAUUUAUUGAUUCCAAAUACAUCGAGCAUACAGUAAUGUCAAGAUGUGUUCAUUUUUAUAGCUCAGCAAUUCUACAAUAGCACUUCAUUAAUGCUAAACACAAUUUUUUCUUCCAUUAUAGUACACCGUUAUAAUAUUUGAUCAAGUGGAUAAUUCAGUAGAAAAUGAUUUAAUUUUUUUUGCAACU